GAUGAACGCUGGCGGCGUGCCUAAUACAUGCAAGUCGGACGGAGCGCUUCGGCGCUCAGUGGCGAACGGGUGAGUAGCACAUGGGCAACCUGCCCUUCAGAGGGGGACAACAGCUGGAAACGGCUGCUAAUACCGAAUGUGACAGCAAUCUCGCAUGAGGAUGCUGUGAAAGAUGGCCUCUAUUUAUAAGCUAUCGCUAGAGGAUGGGCCUGCGUCUGAUUAGCUAGUUGGUGGGGUAACGGCCUACCAAGGCGAUGAUCAGUAGCCGGUCUGAGAGGAUGAACGGCCACAUUGGGACUGAGACACGGCCCAG
rnacentral:rRNA from 1 species